ensembl:lncRNA
UAUCUGGAGAAUCAUUCCUAUUGGAACCCUUCUGUGAGCUCAGGAUAUGGUCUUACUGCUGGAGAAAUGCAGCUGCUUUAUGCAGAGGGUCCUGUCACCAGGAACGUUUUUCGUUGAACAGGGAUACCACAACUAGCUCAGAUUGCCCCGGGUCUGAUCCAGCCUUGCGUUGAAAGUUUCCAGGGAUGGAGCAUCCACCACAUCACUAGAUAACCUGUUCCAGUUACCUAUGUCAGCACAGCGCUGGUUGUUGGAAAGCUGGUGGUUUGCACUACUGUUGGAAUGGUUACUCUUCAAAUGCAUCAUUUUUUUUACUGCAUGUACAAUGAGAUGGGACUCAUUAACAAGCUUGCUUGCUAUUAUUAGAAUAUUAGAAUAAUUCAGUAACUGCAAAUAAUUCACUCAAGUUCCUCAUUCUUAAGGAGGUAUCUUUUGACUCUUGGUGAUAUAUAUAUAUAUAUAUAUAUAUAUUAAAUUCACUUAAAUUUCAUCUCUGAAAAUCUUGAAUGAUUCCUUAUCUCAACAAAUGUGUCAUUAGAAAGGCAAACUGUGGGAAGAUGGUAGCCCUGUAGAAGAAGGGUCAGAUCACUUAGAGAUAAGUAGGUAUUGAAUGAUCUUUUGUUUUCAGAAAGCUGGUUUUGCCACAAUGUCCACUUAGUUUUAAAUCAACUUAUUAUUAUUAUUAUAAUUAGUACUAAUGACUAAUGCAUUUUCAUUUACGCUUUCAUUUACACUUUUUGUUAUUAGAAAUUCACUUGCAAUCCCUCAAGUACUGUUUUCUCUCUACCCCCUGCUGUUACUAUUCACAUCUCUAGACUGUAUUUUCUCGGUACAUUGUUUCUCCUUUCUUCAUCUGUGUUGCCUUCCUUAUAGAGCAUUCACUGUAAAAUAGUGUGGAGCAAUCAUCACAGCAGCAGGGUUGGAAAAUGAAUAGUAAUGUAAGAUAAUGUAACGGUAAACUGCUUCAUAGAUGGCUCUAUUAUUUCCACCAUCAGACAAAUUCCUUUACCUGACAAAAUAAUCAAGAGGCAUCAGGCAUUUAAGCAAUGCAUUUUAUGCUGGCUGAACAUCUGGAAGACAGUAUCUUUUUAUUUGUUAAAUUAUGCUGAAAAAACUUUUGGAGGAGUGGAAAGUUCAUUGAUACUUGCCUGACCUAUUCCAUGGGGCCCUUCUAUUUAUAGCAGGUUGCCAGCUUGCAUUCUGCUUGGUCAUUGAAAUCACUUGACAUGAAGCUUUUGUCUGCUAGAAGAAGGUUGUUGACCAUGCCAUUUAUUUCAGUAAAGAGUUAUUCUAUCGCUUUUAGUCAUAGUUGCAUAAAUGUUGUGAUGAUAAUAGUAGAAAACUUUAUCUCUCGAAGUGGUAACUGUUAUUUUAUGCCCUGGAGCAAACUGUCAGGAUUCCUAAAGGUCUUAUAUUAAAUUGCAAAUCUAGCAUUAUUGUCUGAACUGUAAUUUUAGUUGCUUGUAUUAGAAAGUGUAGCUCUGGGCAAGUGUGCAUUCAAUUAAAACUGUUUUGAAUUUUUUUCAU